AUGAACGCUGGCGGCGUGCCUAAUACAUGCAAGUCGAGCGAACAGAUGAGGAGCUUGCUCCUCUGACGUUAGCGGCGGACGGGUGAGUAACACGUGGAUAACCUACCUAUAAGACUGGGAUAACUUCGGGAAACCGGAGCUAAUACCGGAUAAUAUAUUGAACCGCAUGGUUCAAUAGUGAAAGACGGUUUUGCUGUCACUUAUAGAUGGAUCCGCGCCGCAUUAGCUAGUUGGUAAGGUAACGGCUUACCAAGGCAACGAUGCGUAGCCGACCUGAGAGGGUGAUCGGCCACACUGGAACUGAGACACGGUCCAGACUCCUACGGGAGGCAGCAGUAGGGAAUCUUCCGCAAUGGGCGAAAGCCUGACGGAGCAACGCCGCGUGAGUGAUGAAGGUCUUCGGAUCGUAAAACUCUGUUAUUAGGGAAGAACAAAUGUGUAAGUAACUAUGCACGUCUCGACGGUACCUAAUCAGAAAGCCACGGCUAACUACGUG
rnacentral:rRNA from 1 species